GAAUAUUGGGCAAUGGGCGAAAGCCUGACCCAGCCAUCCCGCGUGCAGGAUGACUGCCCUAUGGGUUGUAAACUGCUUUUAUCUGGGAAGAAAACACCCAUGCGUGGGAAACUGACGGUACCAGAUGAAUAAGCACCGGCUAACUCCGUGCCAGCAGCCGCGGUAAUACGGAGGGUGCAAGCGUUGUCCGGAUUUAUUGGGUUUAAAGGGUGCGUAGGCGGCCCGUUAAGUCCGUGGUGAAAGCCUCCAGCUCAACUGGAGAACUGCCAUGGAUACUGGCGGGCUUGAGUACAGACGAGGUUGGCGGAAUUGAUUGUGUAGCGGUGAAAUGCAUAGAUACAAUCAAGAACUCCGAUUGCGUAGGCAGCUAACUAGGCUGUAACUGACGCUGAGGCACGAAAGCGUGGGGAGCGAACAGG
rnacentral:rRNA from 1 species